CCUCCGUUCAUUUGUUUCGAAGUGCAGCCCCCUGACCCUUAGCCUCCGGCCCUCACAUCCCUCACCAGACUGAGAAUUUCCAGUUCUCUCUCGCUCUCCAUAGUUGCUGACAGAAACAGAUGCUAAAGGGAAUCAGGACAUCAGAACUUGAUUGGUAAUCUGCAAAUCCACGAGGAUUUUGGCAACAUGGGUCGGUCCAAAUCUGAUUAGGGAGGGCUCUCUGAUCAAAAGGGAGCUAUUUUUCUGUAAAUUUGAGAGAACCCAGGAGGUAGGAUUUGUUAUUGUGGACAAGUUAAUAUGCGUUGCAGCUGCUUUGGUGCUUCGGUUGCUGAGAGGAAAAGGAAAUCUGGUUCUGGUCAAUUUGGCCAUGAUCUUGAUGAGAAUGUGCUGGAAAAUAUCAAGGCUUUCUCCUACAAUGAAUUAAGAUCCGCGACGGAUAAUUUCCAUCCGAGUAAUAAGAUCGGGCGAGGCGGUUUUGGAACUGUGUACAAGGUACUCAGAUUAUGCAUUUGUCUUGUAAUAGUUAUAAUUGGGAAGUUUGCACCAAUUAUAGAGAAUUCAUGAUAUCUGUGGUUCGAAUUAUGUUAGUUGUUUUCGAUUCCAAAUUUGUUGCAA